UACGUAGGGUGCAAGCGUUGUCCGGAAUUAUUGGGCGUAAAGAGCUCGUAGGCGGUCUGUUGCGUCGGCUGUGAAAACCCGAGGCUCAACCUCGGGCCUGCAGCCGAUACGGGCAGACUAGAGUUCGGCAGGGGAGACCGGAAUUCCUGGUGUAGCGGUGAAAUGCGCAGAUAUCAGGAGGAACACCGGUGGCGAAGGCGGUUCUCUGGGAAUAUCCUGACGCUGAGGAGCGAAAGUGUGGGGAGCGAACAGG
rnacentral:rRNA from 1 species